AGGUCAUCUAACAAAGCAAGAUAGGUUAU
rnacentral:snRNA from 1 species